GCGGGAGUGAAGAUGUUGAUCGUCCGACUGGUACUUUGUUUGAGUAUUCUGGCCUUUGUGGCUGCAGAGGAGAAUGUUACCGGCCCAGCUUGCCAGCCAGGUGGAGGAUACUGUCUAACGGAUAUCGAUUGCUGCUCAAACAUGUGCAAUCAAGUGGCAGCAGAAUGUAGUUAAGUCGGUGAAUAGUGUUUCCGGCUGAGCAUUGCUAAAAUAUGUAAUGACACACGGACUUCCACAGGUGUUUAAACUUAUUAAAAAUCUAAUAAAGUUGGACCCUAAAAAUACUUUCGAGUAUAA